rnacentral:lncRNA from 1 species
UUUUAUCACUGAGUAAUCUUCCCAGCCCUUUGUUCUCUUUCAUUCCAUCAGGCCUUCAGCCCGGUGGAUGGUGCUAUCUACACUUCGGGCUGAUACUCCCUCCUUGGUUAAUCGUCUUUGGAAAUGCCCUUAUCCCACUCCAUGCCUCCUUCUCAACAGCAGAGUGUGUCACUGUACUUCUCAAUACAAUCACAUUGAAGAUCAAGGAUGACCAUCACCUCUUUGAAGCAAGGAGAACCACUCUCUAAGAUAUCAGCUCAUAGCAUGUUCCUUGGGACUCCAGCACCACACAAAGUCGUUGUCGAGGCACAAAGGUUGGGUCCUACUUCCCUCCUCCCUGUGCUUCCUGCCUUUUGUGCUCAGCCUCUGAAACUGCCAGGAAGAAAUGGCUACAAGCCCCAGAUGUCAUGUCUGAGCUAUUUAUCAGUGAGAAGGUGAGGGCAGCUAAUCAAACCGCUACGAAAGACGUUGGGAGAUGCCCCAUGCCUACAAAAGGUCCUUUAGUACCAAAUCAGCACCAACUUGGGACCCCUCAGAGCCUUAGAUUCAGUUCUGUAAUCAAAGCCUCCUCAAUUUCCUACAGGCCCCAGCACAUAGCCCCCUACACCUCCCCUGAAAGGAAAAACCAGCCCUGAAGGCAGACUCAGUCUCCUCUCCCCUCCC